rnacentral:tRNA from 1 species
GGGGCUGUAGCUCAGUGGUAGAGCAUUUGCUUUGCAUGUGUGAGGCAUUGGGUUUAAUCCUCAGCACCA